UGAAUAUGUUGCCCAUACCUCUCUAUCAUUUAUCAGUCUUUUACUUCUCACUAAUUUAGACUUUUGUUUCCACAGGUGGGAAUGCUGUCCUCCAUUGGUUGAAGAGAUACCAAAAACAUCAUAACCAACCAUGGCCAUUAUGGCUCCAUGCUUAAGGGUCACGGCUAUCAUGUCUUCCACACUCUGGGUCUUGUGGUGUGGAUACACCUUACUGCAGGCACCUUCAAGUUAUAGUUCACACAUUCUUCUAAUGCCAUCCCCCAAACUGCCUGCACUCUGAAGACAAAGAUAUCGAAUCUACAUACAAACAACAACAAUCAGUUAUCAAAGAACAGUGCCAAGAAAUUGCAGCAUAACAUAAAACAGCAUUUGUUUCAGC